UACGAAGGGGGCGAGCGUUGUUCGGAAUUACUGGGCGUAAAGCGCGUGUAGGCGGUCUCGCAAGUCGGAUGUGAAAGCCCAGGGCUCAACCCUGGAAGUGCACUCGAUACUGCGAGGCUAGAGUCCCGGAGAGGAUGGUGGAACUCUCGGUGUAGAGGUGAAAUUCGUAGAUAUCGGGAGGAACACCAGUGGCGAAGGCGAUCACCUGGGGUUGUUCUGACGCUGAGGAGCGAAAGCUAGGGGAGCAAACGGG
rnacentral:rRNA from 1 species